CACUCCUACGGGAGGCAGCAGUGGGGAAUAUUGCACAAUGGGCGCAAGCCUGAUGCAGCGACGCCGCGUGGGGGAUGAAGGCCUUCGGGUUGUAAACUCCUUUCGCUAGGGACGAAGCUUUUUUGUGACGGUACCUAGAUAAGAAGCACCGGCUAACUACGUGCCAGCAGCCGCGGUAAUACGUAGGGUGCGAGCGUUGUCCGGAAUUACUGGGCGUAAAGGGCUCGUAGGUGGUUUGUCGCGUCGUCUGUGAAAUUCUGGGGCUUAACUCCGGGCGUGCAGGCGAUACGGGCAUAACUUGAGUGCUGUAGGGGUAACUGGAAUUCCUGGUGUAGCGGUGAAAUGCGCAGAUAUCAGGAGGAACACCGAUGGCGAAGGCAGGUUACUGGGCAGUUACUGACGCUGAGGAGCGAAAGCAUGGGUAGCGAACAGGAUUAGAAACCCUUGUAGUCCCA
rnacentral:rRNA from 1 species